rnacentral:rRNA from 1 species
UACGUAGGGUGCGAGCGUUAAUCGGAAUUACUGGGCGUAAAGCGUGCGCAGGCGGUUCGCCAAGUCAGGUGUGAAAUCCCCGGGCUUAACCUGGGAAUUGCGCUUAAAACUAGCGGGCUUGAGUGUGGCAGAGGGGGGUGGAAUUCCACGUGUAGCAGUGAAAUGCGUAGAGAUGUGGAGGAACACCGAUGGCGAAGGCAGCCCCCUGGGUCAACACUGACGCUCAUGCACGAAAGCGUGGGGAGCAAACAGG